AUAGAAACAACAGAGUGCCUGCUGCAGUAUGACGAGGACACCCUGAGCAGAGAGCUCCAAUAGACCCAGGUCCAGUGUCUUGGCAGGGUGAAAUGGCACUGAUAUGGUGUCCUGCAGGAUGCUGUGUCCUGCAAUCCUGUGUGCUGUGCUACAGACGCGUCUGGAAGCCAACCUGAAAUAAGCACAGUCUCUCCACAGAGGAGUGAAAGAGGCUCCCAGAAGUGAGACUGAGUGCCUGUUGCAGUAUGACGAGGACACAGUGACCAGAGACCUUCAGUAGACCCUGAUGGCAUGAUUGGCGG